rnacentral:rRNA from 1 species
AUGAACGCUAGCUACAGGCUUAACACAUGCAAGUCGAGGGCAGCAUGAACAUAGCUUGCUAUGUUUGAUGGCGACCGGCGCACGGGUGCGUAACACGUAUCCAAUCUGCCCGUCACUCGGGGAUAGCCUUCUGAAAGGAAGAUUAAUACCCGAUGGGAUGCAUUUCCGGCAUCGGAGAUGCAUUAAAGAUUUUAUCGGUGACGAAUGAGGAUGCGUACGAUUAGCUAGUUGGCGGGGUAACGGCCCACCAAGGCUACGAUCGUUAGGGGUUCUGAGAGGAAGGUCCCCCACACUGGAACUGAGACACGGUCCAGACUCCUACGGGAGGCAGCAGUGAGGAAUAUUGGUCAAUGGGCGGGAGCCUGAACCAGCCAAGUAGCGUGAAGGAUGACUGCCCUACGGGUUGUAAACUUCUUUUGUUUGGGAAUAAAAGACGCUACGUGUAGCGUUGUGCAUGUACCUUACGAAUAAGCAUCGGCUAAUUCCGUG